rnacentral:rRNA from 1 species
AGCGAACGCUGGCGGCAGGCUUAACACAUGCAAGUCGAGCGGGCGUAGCAAUACGUCAGCGGCAGACGGGUGAGUAACGCGUGGGAACGUACCUUUUGGUUCGGAACAACACAGGGAAACUUGUGCUAAUACCGGAUAAGCCCUUACGGGGAAAGAUUUAUCGCCGAAAGAUCGGCCCGCGUCUGAUUAGCUAGUUGGUGAGGUAACGGCUCACCAAGGCGACGAUCAGUAGCUGGUCUGAGAGGAUGAUCAGCCACAUUGGGACUUAGACACGGCCCAAACUCCUACGGGAGGCAGCAGUGGGGAAUAUUGGACAAUGGGGGCAACCCUGAUCCAGCCAUGCCGCGUGAGUGAUGAAGGCCCUAGGGUUGUAAAGCUCUUUUGUGCGGGAAGAUAAUGACGGUACCGCAAGAAUAAGCCCCGGCUAACUUCGUG